GAUGAAUGCUGGCGGCGUGCCUAAUACAUGCAAGUCGAGCGGUAAGGCCCUUCGGGGUACACGAGCGGCGGACGGCUGAGUAACGCGUGGGAACAUGCCCCAAAGUGAGGGAUAACGCACCGAAAGGUGUGCUAAUACCGCAUAUGGUCUUCGGAUUAAAGGAUUUAUCCGCUUUGGGAGUGGCCCGCGUACGAUUAGAUUGUUGGUGAGGUAACGGCUCACCAAGUCGACGAUCGUUAACUGGUCUGAGAGGAUGAUCAGUCAGACUGGAACUGAGACACGGUCCAGACUCCUACGGGAGGCAGCAGUAAGGAAUCUUCCACAAUGGGCGAAAGCCUGAUGGAGCAACGCCGCGUGCAGGAUGAAGGCCUCGGGUCGUAACUGCUUUAUGAGUGAAGAAUAUGACGGUAACUCAUGAAUAAGACACGGCUAACUACGUGCCAGC
rnacentral:rRNA from 1 species